rnacentral:rRNA from 1 species
GAGGAAGUAAAAGUCGUAACAAGGUCUCCGUUGGUGAACCAGCGGAGGGAUCAUUACAAGAAGCCGAAAGGCUACUUCAAACCAUCGCGAACUCGUCCAAGUUGCUUCGGCGGCGCGGCACCCCUUAACGGGGGCGCCGCAGCCCUGCCUCUCCGGAGGUUCGGGGCGCCCGCCGGAGGUACGAAACUCUGUAUUAUAGUGGCAUCUCUGAGUAUAAAACAAAUAAGUUAAAACUUUCAACAACGGAUCUCUUGGUUCUGGCAUCGAUGAAGAACGCAGCGAAAUGCGAUAAGUAAUGUGAAUUGCAGAAUUCAGUGAAUCAUCGAAUCUUUGAACGCACAUUGCGCCCGGUAGUACUCUACCGGGCAUGCCUGUUCGAGCGUCAUUUCAACCCUCAAGCCCUGCUUGGUGUUGGGGCCCUACGGCUGCCGUAGGCCCUGAAAGGAAGUGGCGGGCUCGCUACAACUCCGAGCGUAGUAAUUCAUUAUCUCGCUAGGGAGGUUGCGGCGUGCUCCUGCCGUUAAAGACCCAUCUUUAACCAAGGUUGACCUCGGAUCAGGUAGGAAUACCCGCUGAACUUAAGCAUA